rnacentral:other from 1 species
CGGUCUCUGUGGCGUGCGAGAGGAUUCAAUCCCCGAGACCGUACAUUCUCUCUCGGGAGUUGGCUCUGCCCCGGAUCGUUCCCCGCAAGGGGGGCGGACGGGGUAUCUGGCGCCCACCUAGCUUGCUAGGGUCCGAGUGGAUGACAUGCCUCCAACGGCGUUCUUGCGGAACCGCC